rnacentral:rRNA from 1 species
UAGAGACCGGCGCACGGGUGCGUAACGCGUAUGCAAUCUACCUUUUACAGGGGAAUAGCCCAGAGAAAUUUGGAUUAAUGCCCCAUAGUAUAAUUGAAUGGCAUCAUUUAAUUAUUAAAGUCACAACGGUAAAAGAUGAGCAUGCGUCCCAUUAGUUAGUUGGUAAGGUAACGGCUUACCAAGACAAUGAUGGGUAGGGGUCCUGAGAGGGAGAUCCCCCACACUGGUACUGAGACACGGACCAGACUCCUACGGGAGGCAGCAGUGAGGAAUAUUGGACAAUGGGCGCAAGCCUGAUCCAGCCAUGCCGCGUGCAGGAAGACGGUCCUAUGGAUUGUAAACUGCUUUUAUACAGGAAGAAACACUCCGACGUGUCGGAGCUUGACGGUACUGUAGGAAUAAGGAUCGGCUAACUCCGUGCCAGCAGCCGCGGUAAUACGGAGGAUCCAAGCGUUAUCCGGAAUCAUUGGGUUUAAAGGGUCCGUAGGCGGUUUAAUAAGUCAGUGGUGAAAUCUGGUCGCUCAACGAUCAAACGGCCAUUGAUACUGUUAGACUUGAAUUAUAAGGAAGUAACUAGAAUAUGUAGUGUAGCGGUGAAAUGCUUAGAUAUUACAUGGAAUACCAAUUGCGAAGGCAGGUUACUACUUAUGGAUUGACGCUGAUGGACGAAAGCGUGGGGAGCGAACAGGAUUAGAUACCCUGGUAGUCCACGCCGUAAACGAUGGAUACUAGCUGUUGGAAGCAAUUUCAGUG